CCUCUCCCUUCUCCUCCCCAUUCUCGGCCUCCCCUUUCUCUCUCUAUACUCUCUUUUCCUCCAUUGAUGUCUAUUGAAGAAAGCUUAGAGAAGCUUCAUCAAACACUACUAUGAGAUAAUCCACCAUCCAAUCCAAUCAAAUACUAUCAUAUCUCAUCAAAUUCAAGAAGCAUGAGCUAAGAUCAAAGUUGGAGCAAAGUCUUGAUCACCGUUUAAAUCCUUGAGAUAUGCGGAGGGGAGUAUGGUGCGGUGCUGGUGGGGAAUGUUUCGGGUUGACGUUUUCUUUCUCUAUCGUAUGACUGUUUUGUCGAUAGAGUUUUGAUAUGAAGUUAUGUUAUAUUAAAUCAAGCAGUUGACUCACGAUUAUGUGUCUUCAUACAUAUAGUCGGUUCACCUUUUGUUAUCACACUCUGAAUAUUAUGACUCUACAUAAAAAUUGAGUUACACUUGUUUUGCUUUUCA